AUGCCCAAGUGUACAAGCUGACCUUAGCCAUGAACAGAGGCAGUUCUUCUACAGUAUAGAAGAAAAGCCCAUAUAUAAUAAAUAUGGCACAGAUGCAGACAGGAAGUUUAUCCCAUCUGGAGUCCACUCUGUACAUGAUGGUCUGUUUCCUUUGCUUUGAGGUUCCAUUCUGUGUCAUUGGCCACGCCAAGAUAGAGGCACCCUAAAGAUCACGUGUCCACAUGGACCCUUCUCCCCAGGCUUCAACAGUGGAAUCACGCAGCUCAAAGAGAGCUGUCCCUGUGUGCAUAUC